AAGAAAACAGCUUUUGAGGGACAAAGGUUGACUUUAUGUAAUAAAGCCACUUGGAAAUAUUGGCCUGGUACCUUGCUUACAGGGUUCCCAGCAACUUUACCAGGUGAGUAAAGAAGGUAACUUCCCUGGCAGGUGCAGGAACCCCAGGAUAUUUUGGGGACCU